rnacentral:misc_RNA from 1 species
GAUGAAGAACGUAGCGAAAUGCGAUAAGUAAUGUGAAUUGCAGAAUUCAGUGAAUCAUCGAAUCUUUGAACGCACCUUGCGCCCUUUGGCCAUUCCGAAGGGCAUGCCUGUUUGAGUAUCAUGAACACCUCAACUCUUUAUGGUUUUCCAUGAUGAGCUUGGACUCUGGGGGUUUUGCUGGCUCACAGUCGGCUCCUCUAAAAUAAAUCAGCUUACCAGUGUUUGGUGGGUAUCAUGGGUGUGAUAACUAUCUACGCUUGUGGUUUUUCCACCAGGUAACCUUCAGCAGUGGAGGUUCGCUGGAGCUCAUAGACGUCUCUCCUCAGUGAGGACAGCACUUUGAACGUUUGAUCUCAAAUCAGGUAGGACUACCCGCUGAACUUAAGCAUAUCAAUAAGCGGAGGA